rnacentral:lncRNA from 1 species
AGUGGGCUCAGAAUUGAGGAGGAGGCCCAAAGGCCAGGCCGGGCUUGGGCUUGAAAAAUGGUUUCACUCCCUUGGGCUCAGCCGAACCCAAUCCAACCCACCAAUAAGUAGGUCUAACAUCCAUGAACAUUCCUAAUAGUCUUGGGGUAUGUUUGGUUGGAAAGAGUUAAACUCUGAAAUGGAAAUCAAAAUGGCCUCCACUCCAACUGUUUGGU